GGGCUGGUGGUUCAGCUUGGUACGAACGUUCGAUUCGCAAUCGAGAGAUCGCGGGUUCAAAUCCCGCCCAGUCCAC
rnacentral:tRNA from 1 species